rnacentral:rRNA from 1 species
GAUGAACGCUGGCGGCGUGCCUAAUACAUGCAAGUCGAGCGAACGGACGAGAAGCUUGCUUCUCUGAUGUUAGCGGCGGACGGGUGAGUAACACGUGGAUAACCUACCUAUAAGACCGGGAUAACUUCGGGAAACCGGAGCUAAUACCGGAUAAUAUUUUGAACCGCAUGGUUCAAAAGUGAAAGACGGUCUUGCUGUCACUUAUAGAUGGAUCCGCGCUGCAUUAGCUAGUUGGUAAGGUAACGGCUUACCAAGGCAAUGAUGCAUAGCCGACCUGAGAGGGUGAUCGGCCACACUGGAACUGAGACACGGUCCAGACUCCUACGGGAGGCAGCAGUAGGGAAUCUUCCGCAAUGGGCGAAAGCCUGACGGAGCAACGCCGCGUGAGUGAUGAAGGUCUUCGGAUCGUAAAACUCUGUUAUUAGGGAAGAACAUAUGUGUAAGUAACUGUGCACAUCUUGACGGUACCUAAUCAGAAAGCCACGGCUAACUACGUG